rnacentral:misc_RNA from 1 species
ACGCAGCGAAAUGCGAUACGCAAUGCGAAUUGCAGAACCGUGAGUCAUCAGAUUUUUGAACGCAAGUGGCGAUGGUUUCGGCCAUCAUGUUUUUUUCAGUGUAUUCGGUUAAUUGCAUCGAAGAAGUUAAUGUGACUGAAGCAAUUCUUUCACAGAAUACGAGCCAGUGUCAGUUACAAGGCAUUAGACGAAUCAGUCACUAAAUUGGUGAUAGUCGGCUAAGUGCAUGUAGCUGUAAAGCGCUGGUUAAGAACAAUUUAUCCAAUCAU